rnacentral:lncRNA from 1 species
GGUUGCCACCAUAUACUGCUAGGUAUCACUGGUAGAUUUUGAGAGCAAUUAGAAUGGUCUUGAUGAUCGAUCAUUUUAAUUGUCUAAAUCAGAAGAGUUUUGGUCCAUCGAAAGGAGUUUCGAUGAUGUCGAUGAUGAGAUCACGACAUGUCUUAUUACCAUAUAAAAAUGAACCUAACUGGAUCAUACAAAUAAGAGUUAGGGUCUGGAUGUCAUCAAUUGAGCUAACCUAGUUCGAUUAGUUUGGAUUAGAUCCAAUUAGGUUCAAGAAAAUCAUGCUAGCAC